rnacentral:sRNA from 1 species
AGAUCGACAAUCAGGUUCACGAGGAUGAAGAAGGUGAGAAAAAUCAGCAGGCAUGCCUGCACGACCAUGAAGUCGC